rnacentral:rRNA from 1 species
UACGUAGGGAGCAAGCGUUGUCCGGAAUCAUUGGGCGUAAAGCGCGCGUAGGCGGCCUCAUAAGUCCGUUGUGAAAGUCAAAGGCUCAACCUUUGAAAGCCGAUGGAUACUGUGAGGCUAGAGUCCGGAAGAGGCGAGUGGAAUUCCUGGUGUAGCGGUGGAAAUGCGCAGAUAUCAGGAGGAACACCGGUGGUGUAAAGCGGCUUCUGGGCCAUAACUGACGCUGAGGCAGCGAAAGCGUGGGGUAGCAAACAGGAUUAGA